UGACCUCGGAUCAGGUAGGUACCC
rnacentral:rRNA from 1 species